CCAGAGGUCACUCUCGUCGCCAUCUUGGUUUUGGUGGGUUUUGGCUGGCUUUUUUACUGCAGCCUGUUUUAUCAGCAAGGUCUUUAUGACCUGUAUCUUGUGCUAACCUCCUGUCUCAUCCUGUGACUUAGAAUGCCCUAACCAUCUUGGAAUGCAGCCCAACAGGUCUCAGCCUCAUUUUACGCAGCUCCUAUUCAAGAUGGAGUUGCUCUGGUUCAACACCUCUGACAGCUUUAAUUUGGAAGAGAUGGAAAACUUUGAGGAGGUCCCGGAGAAUGACCAGCAACCUCACAGACAGAAUCCUGGGUACCUUGGGUAAAGGCUUCCUCUCCAUGCCACCCACAAGACACUGUGACCCCAAUCUCCAGCCCUCCACCUCUCUGGAAUUUUUCUAUUAUAUCAUCUGUCCACUCAACAGCUCCCCCAGAUUUUACUUGUGUUUUUUAUCAAACCUAUCAUCUUCCUCCAAAACUCGCUGCUCCUCUUGUAAUUCCUCCGUUGGUGAAAAACACUCCAUCUUCUCCAUACACGACAACAAUUGGACUUCAAAAUGAACUUUUGCACAUCAAAUGGCACUGUAAACAGAGUAAAAAGACAACCUAUAGGUCAGGAGCAGUGGCUCACGCCUGUAAUCCCAGCACUUUGGGAGGCUGAGGAUCAUGAGGUCAGGAGAUUGAGAGCAUCCUGGCUAACACGGUGAAACCCCGUCUCUACUAAAAAUACAUUACAUAUAAGCAUUGUGUAAUGCUUCCCCUGCCUACACCACGUUCAGAAUCAUACACUCUUGCUCGUUCUUCUGGGAUUCGGGGAGACAUCUGCUCCUUUCACCUAAUUUUAAUACCCAGUGUUCUAAUCCAGGUCUCAAUGUCUCUUGUAUGGGUUACCUCAACCAGCAUCCGCAUCAACAUCCCAGCCUCCCCAAGGCAUACACCAUGGACCUGAGUUGUUAGGUCAUGGGCUAUGUGUCUCCAGCUUUCAGAGAAACUCUGUAAAAUCAGAGGAGCAGCACCUCUAAUUGACUCUUCUAUUUCUACCUGAGGCAACCGGAUAUGGUAGCAAAUAUUAUACCCUAUUUGCCCCUUACUUUAAAAUCUAUUGCUUCGUUAUAUAAACUUUUACUAGGUCUUAGAUUUCUUUAGGUCUUGCCUUAUUGGAAGAAAUUCUGUGUGCAAUCUUGCUGAAGAAGGUCCUCCUAAAUGUAGGUAAAGGAAGGAAAAAAGCUGGUGCGGCUUCACCUGUAGAUGAAAUCCUGAACAGUACAGCCUUUUAGGAAAAAAAAAAAUGAUAAAAUUGGAAGUAGGAAACAUCUCAAGAAUAAAACUCUGGGGCGAAGUUUAGAAGGGGGAUGAAGGAUAAAAGACUACAUAUUGGGUAGAGUGUACACUGCUCAGGUGAUGAAUCCCCCAAAAUCUCAGAAAUCACCACUAAAGAAUUUAUCCAUGUAACCAAACACCACCUGUUCCCCAAAAACAGUUGAACUAAAAAUUAAAAAAAAAAAAAAACAAAAAAAAAACCUCCAUUCCCUGAUUAGAAACCACAAAAGGGGCCUUAAGAGGUUGUCUGUAAAUAAUGUACCUUGAAUCUCUCAAGGUCUUUCAUGCUGAUUGACCAUCACAGGAAAUGGUAUUCAAAUCAGCAUCUAUCAUUUUCGGAAGGUUUAUAAACUGACAUUUUACUUUGCCAGAAAUAGGAGACUCAGAAUCCAAUCUUGUUUGUGUCUUCUCUCGUGUUACAGAGGCAAAUGAACUGAUGAACCUGGCAGAUUUCCCAUCUUCAAACAAUGAUGGUUCAUGCUGACACUCUGUCCCUGGCUGCAGAGGGCACCUCUUUUUUUGUUCACCUGACAAAAAACAACAAUUGGAUUGGUCUCUCCCAGACCACGUGGUCCUCACAGGCUGCCCAUCAUGGGCCUCAACUCCCCUGACCACGUGGGACAGGCACAAGACCCACAGUACUCUGUUCAGACUCUCUCUCAGGCAUCUGAAAUUUCCAUGGAGACAGAAGGACAAAAGGACAGAGCUGUCUUUUCAACAAAUGUUGCUGGGAGAACUGGAUAUCUACUUGCCGAAGAAUGAAGUCAUACCCUUAUCUCACAGUAUCUACAAAAACUAGCUUAAAAUAGACUAAAGAGCUAAACGGAAAAGUUAAAAUUAUAAAACAUAAGGAGAAAGCUUCAUGGCAUUGGAUUUGGCAGUGAUUUCUUCUUUAUGACACUAAAAGCACAGGCGACAAAAGAAAAAAGACGGAAAUUGGACUCCAAAAUGAAGAAUUUUGCACAUCAAAAGGCACUGUAAACAGAGUAAAAAGACAACCUAUAGGCCGGGCGCGUGGGGCUCACGCCUGUAAUCCCAACACUUUGGGAAGCCGAGGCAGGUGGAUCAUGAAGUCAGGAGAUCGAGACCAUCCUGGCUAACACGGUGAAACCUUAAAAAUACAAAAACAAAAUGAGCCGGGCGUGGUGGCGGGCACCUGUAGUCCCAGCUACUAGAGAGGCUGAGGCGGGAGAAUGGCGUGAACCCAGGAGGCGGAGCUUGCAGCGAGCCGAGAUCGCGCCACUGCACUACAGAGCAAGACUCCGUCUCAAAAAAAAAAAAAAAAGAAAAGAAAAAAAGACAACCUAUAGAAUGCGAGAAAAUGUUUGUAAAUCAAAUUCCUAAUAAAAAAUUAAUAUUCAUAAUAUGUAAAGGACUCCUAUAACUCAACAACAACAAUUAAAAACUAGGCAAAGGACUUCAAUAGACAUUUCUCCAAAUAAGUUAUACAAAUGGCCAAUGAGCCCAGGAAGAGAUGUUCAGCAUCACUAAUCAUUAGGGAAAUGGAAACCAAAACCACAGUGAGAUCCCACCUCACACCCAUUAGGAUGGCUACUAUCAAACAAGCAGAGAAUAGCAGGUGUUGGUGAGGAUGUAGAGGGAUUGGAAGGAACUCUUGCGCAUUGCUGGUGGAAAUGUAAAAUGGUGCAGCUACUAUGGAAAGCAGCACAGAAGUUCCUCAAAAACUUAAAAAUAGAAUUACCAUAUGAUCCAGCAAUUUUGUUUCUAGGUGCAUACCCAAAGGAAUUGAAGGCUGGAACUCAAAGAGUUAUUUGUACACCUAUGUUUGCAACAGCAUCAUUUACAGUAGUGUGAAAAGAUCACCGUGGGCAUGUUAACAUUUUAAAGCAUUUAUGUGAGCAGACAAUGAUUCAUGAAUCUGGUAGCACCAAACUGCAAGUAGUUUGGGCUCCACCAAGAGGGUGUGAGGGGAAAAUUGUUAAAAGGUGAUCAUGAAAGCAAGACAAAGAAAAUAUUUGAUUGGCUAAGGCAGGAAGUCUCCAGUUAGAGGUCAGCUGGAGGUUUCUGAUUGGUAAAUUCUGUAGUGAGAGGUUAGUUAGCAGUUUCUGAAUGGUUAAGCUGGGGUUUCAUUUUCCCAGGCUAUGGUCACUCACACUGAAUGGGGUUUCAGUUUGCUUAUGUAGGAAUCCAAGGUGCUGGGUUCUCAGCCAAAUGGACUCCAAAUUAAUUGUUUUUAACAAUAGCCAAAAGGUUAAUCAGCUCAAAUGUCCACUGAUGGAAUGAGUCAAUUAAUUUGUUUACUUGUCCAUGAAUGAGUAAACAAAAUGUGGUAUAUACAUACAAUUAAAUAUUAUUCAGCCUUAAAAAGGAAGAAAAUUCUGACCCAUGCCAUAAUGUGGAUGAACUUUGAAGACAUUACGCUAAGUAAGAUAAGCCAGUCACAAAAAUAACAAACUCUGUGUGAUUCCCCUCAUAGGGGGUCCAUAGUCAAAUUCAUAGAAACAGAAUAGUGGUUGUGGGGGCUGGGCAGAGGGGGAGUCAUUGUCUAAUUUGUGGUGUUAAAUUAAGCUUAGCCUAAAGCUGACUGCUUACAUAUUUUAAGUUUAGCCUAAAGAUCCCUCCAUACAUGGUGAACUGUCUCCUAACUGGAUGUAUGAACAGAUUGUAACCUACUCUUGUACCAGUCACUGAGUUUCUGCAAAUCAAAGGUGACCAGACCCUGUUUAAAUACGGCAAACAUUGAGCUGUAGCCAAUACAGUAGUUUCUGCACCUCACUUCCAGUUUCUGUACAUUACUUUCCUUUUUCUGUCCAGCGAUCUUUGACCAUGCUGCAGCAACGGGGUCUCUCUGAACCUAUUCUGGUUUAGGAGACUGCCCAAUUCAUGAAUCUUUCUUUGUUCAAUUAAACUCUGUUAAAUUUAAUUUAUCUGAAGUCUUUAUUUUAACAAUUACAGAGUUUCAGUUUUGCAAAAUAUAAAGAGUUCUGUGGAUAGAUGGUGGUGAUGGUUUCACAACAAUGCAAUGGUAGUCAAUGCCACUGAUCCAUACCCUUAAACAGAGUGAAAAUUGUCAAUUUUAUAUUAUUUUAUCACAAUAAAAAGAAAAGGAGGUCAGAGCUGAGCCAUCAGGCAACAGCCUCCAGAGUGUUGCUCUGUCAUUGUGUGCUGUUGAAGCCCCCGGUGCUUCCCUGACCCCUCCAUGGCAGACCUGAAGGUUCGGCGCUCUUUUCUAGCCUGUGAGUGCCCCGUUAUGUUUACCAUCAAGUCCUCUUUCGGACGAAGUCACCCAGGGUAGGCUUCCUUUUGCCAAAGAGCAUUCCCUGAAAUGCCAGCAUUCUACAUAAAGUGGCUGCAGCUAUCUGCCUACCAGAGAGCCAUCCCCAAAUUGUUCUAUGGAAAAAAGAAUACCUGCCGUUUGCUUGCCACCCCUUAUGCACCCUGCUGCCACCUCGUUCCAGGGUCAUCCUAAGCCCUCCAGAAUGAAGAUUUAUUUGGCAGUACAUUCAUGUUUUUAUUUUGGUUUCUGUCUAAUAUUCUUUCCUAUUUUCAUUCCUGUAGUGGCAGGUACCACAGCUCAUGGGCCAGUAAAAGCUACCAAUUGCACCAGUCCUGAUUCCUGGGCAUGAUGUGAUAGUCUUCACUCAUCCUGUCUGGGUGAGGAGCUUGUGCAGACAUCAUCUUCAUCUUACCCAAGAGAAAACGGAGGCUCCAAGAGGGGAGGGGAUUUUCCCAAAGUCUCAGAAUGAAUAAGAUGAUGGAGCCAGUGUCUUGCCCAGCCCUGUCUAACUUCAAAGACCAUAAUCUCUAUCCAUUGGAGAAAGCGUGGCUGGGAUGUUCUGUAUAUCGGAGUAGCUCUUGGAUCAAAUGCUAAAGAGCCAGAGAUAACUCUCCAAAUCACAUAGAUUGAUUUGAGACUAAGACUCAUUAUUAUUACUUAAAAAAUAUAUUUUUUAAACUACUUAUGGCAUGAAAAGCAAAUUUGCAAAUUGAAACAAGGCAGUCAAUAGAUCAACAGAUGUCAUUUUUUAAAGCCAAAUUGAACACAUUCACUAGAGCAUAUGAGACUCAGUGGCAGAGCAAGAGAUCAUGAAAUUAAAUUAAAUUUACUUUAAUUAAUGUAUAAAUCUACAAUUUAAUUAAUUGGGUUAAAUUACUGCAAAACACAGCCAAUCUCAAAUGGAGGGAUUUCUGAAUCAAAG
rnacentral:lncRNA from 1 species